rnacentral:rRNA from 1 species
UAAGCGGAGGAAAAGAAACCAACAGGGAUUGCCUUAGUAACGGCGAGUGAAGCGGCAACAGCCCAGAUUUGAAAUCUGGCUUCUUUUAGGAGUCCGAGUUGUAAUCUGUAGAGGAUGUCGCUGGCUAACAGUUUUCCCGAAGUCCUCUGGAACGAGGUGCCUUAGAGGGUGAGAGCCCCGUACGGGAAGAUUGAAAGGUCAAGAUGCGACUCCUUCGGCGAGUCGAGUAGUUUGGGAAUGCUGCUCUAAAUGGGAGGUAAAUUCCUUCUAAGGCUAAAUAUCGGCCGGAGACCGAUAGCGCACAAGUAGAGUGAUCGAAAGAUGAAAAGCACUUUGGAAAGAGGGUUAAACAGUACGUGAAAUUGUUGAAAGGGAAGCGCCCGUGACCAGACUUGCACUCAGCCAAUCGCCCCACGCUUGUCGCGGGGUCUCUUGGCUGUAGUACAGGCCAGCAUCGAUUCUUGCUGGGGGAUAAGCACAAUGGGAAUGUAGCUCUUUUCGAGGAGUGUUAAAGCCCGCUGUUCAGUACCCUGGCGGGGAUCGAGGCCCGCGCAUUUGCACGGAUGCUGUCGUAAUGGUCACUGACGACCCGUCUUGA